rnacentral:tRNA from 1 species
GGAUUGUGGCUUAGUGGUAUAGUGCUUGCCUGGCACGCAUGAGGCAUUGGGUUCAAUUCUCAACACCA